GUGAAUCAUCAAAUUUUUGAACGCAAAUUGCACUUUCUGGUAUUCGGGAAAGUAUGCCUGUUUGAGGGUCAGUAAAAUAAACAUCGGCGCUAUUGCUCUUAAUGGUGAUGCGUCGGAAUUGAGUUGUUUUUACUUUUGGUUUUAAGCGACUUAAAAUUAUGUAUGAUUUUCGAACGUAUUUAAAUAAAUUUCCUACGUUCAUGAUUUCAGAUAUUAGGUGUUGUUAUACAUAUGAUUUGGCGCCUAUAAUUUUCCAUUAUUUGACCUCAAAUCAGGUAAGAAUACUCACUGA
rnacentral:misc_RNA from 1 species